rfam:Paenibacillus selenitireducens strain ES3-24 ES3-24_scaffold24, whole genome shotgun sequence.
UAAAAUGCAGUGAAAAGGAAAAGUAAUUAAUCACUCGAAUCUUAGAGAGCCCAUGCUGGUGAAAUUGGGUAUUCGAGCUUAAUGAAUGAAGCCUUGGAGCAGUAGACCGAAAAAUUGGAGUAGGUCUACCGGGGAUUUCCCGUUAAAGAAAUGUGCGGCAAGAUAAUGAAUUGCUGCAUAAUGAGCGGGUUUUUAACCAAUUUAGGUGGUAACGCGGAAGCACAGCCUUUCGUCCUUUAA